AGUGAACGCUGGCGGUAGGCCUAACACAUGCGAGUCGAACGGCAGCACAGUAAGAGCUUGCUAUUACGGGUGGCGAGUGGCGGACGGGUGAGGAAUACAUCGGAAUCUACUUUUUCGUGGGGGAUAACGUAGGGGAACUUACGCUAAUACCGCAUACGACCUACGGGUGAAAGCAGGGGAUCCUCGGACCUUGCGCGAUUGAAUGAGCCGAUGUCGGAUUAGCUAGUUGGCGGGGUAAAGGCCCACCAAGGCGACGAUCCGUAGCUGGUCUGAGAGGAUGAUCAGCCACACUGGAACUGAGACACGGUCCAGACUACUACGGGAGGCAGCAGAGGGGAAUAGUAGACAAUGGGCGCAAGCCUGAUCCAGCCAUACCGCGUGGGUGAAGAAGGCCUGCGGGUUGUAAAGCCAGUUUGUUGGGAAAGAAAAGCAGCAGGUUAAUACCCCGCUGUUCUGACGGUACCCAAAGAAUAAGCACCGGCUAACUCCGUG
rnacentral:rRNA from 1 species